CACGUGAAGAGGAAGGCCUGAUGCUAGGCUCUCCCUCUUUGUCUCCCUGGCUGGUUCCACCCGCUGUAACGAGCGGCAUUUUGGCAGAGGUGAAAGGUGGUGCUGAGGUGCAUCAGGCACGUCGGGUAGACCUUAGGCAACAUUAUUCAAAGUUCGAGGUGAAUUUAGGUGUUUGUGAUGACGUGCGACAAGUAUAGCAACAUUCCAGGAAAAUCUCUGCCUAAGGCCAAAUAUAGAGUUGUGGUGAACUGGGGCAAUAGGUUGAUUAGAUGGCUCUGCUCAUAUCCUACUGGAGAUAUUUUGAGUCCAUAGUCAUACUAGCGCGACAUGUUUUGGUCUUAUUGACAAUGUAUUGUUUUUUUUUAGACAUUAAUGUUAUGGUUUUGAAGACAUUUUUGUCAUGUGUAUCAUUGAUAAAUAUGAAAUCAUUUUGUAUGAACUGAAUUUGCUACAUAAUGGAAUGUUUGCCUCAUUGUCA